AUUGAACGCUGGCGGCAGGCCUAACACAUGCAAGUCGAGCGGAUGAAGGGAGCUUUCUCCUGGAUUCAGCGGCGGACGGGUGAGUAAGUCCUAGGAAUCUGCCUGGCAGUUGGGGCUAACGUCCGGAAACGGGCGCGAAUACCGCAUACGUUCUGAGGUAGAAAGUGGGGGAUCUUUGGAGCUCACGCUAUUUGAUGACCCUAGGACGGAUUAGCUAGUUGGUGAGGUAAAGGCCUACCAAGGCGACGAUCCGUAACUGGUCUGAGAGGAUGAUCAGUCACACUGGAACUGAGACACGGUCCAGACUCCUACGGGAGGCAGCAGUGGGGAAUAUUGGACAAUGGGCGAAAGCCUGAUCCAGCCAUGCCGCGUGUGUGAAGAAGGUCUUCGGAUUGUAAAGCACUUUAAGUUGGGAGGAAGGGAAGUAAGUUAAUACCUUGCUGUCUUGACGUUACCAACAGAAUAAGCACCGGCUAACUUCGUG
rnacentral:rRNA from 1 species